GCCGAGCUCAGUAACACGGGCUUGUAACUCAUGUGAGGGCAUUAAGGUGAUUGGACUUUGGGCUUUGCUUGAUCUGGUUGGGCUUGUGCUGCACAUACUGACUCGCCCGUUCCAAGUUGGGAGUUGGACUAUGUGUGACAGGCGAAGGCCUGUGCCACUUGGUUCCUAGAGUGGAGGGGACCUCGUCAGGCUGGUUUCACAGAGCAGCGAAAACCUCCCUCUCUUGACAGUGGAAGGAUAACGAGACGGGUGCUCCAUCGGUCCGCUAUGGCCAGAUGGGCCCAGUCCAAAGAACUAUCACUUUU